AUGGUUCGGAUCUGACAUAAAUGUAAUUACAUGUAAAAGUAAUCGAGUGAUAACGUUAUUAGCCGAGGUCCGGCGAGGAAGGCCGCCAUGAUUAAGGGGGACGGUGACGAGCGGCGAGCUUCCGCUGGAGAGGCGAGAUAAGGACCUGAUGAUUCUACAGCAUGCUACACGAUCGGCCUAAUCAAUAUUAAUUGUCAUUUCAUUAUUUCUAGAGACGCUUCUGCUCACAUCUAUCAAUAUUCUAGUGACAUCAGAAGCGCCAGGUUUGAGAAAAUUAUGCCAUAUCACGAUUCUUAUGGAUUUUCAGAAACACGUUAUAUAUAAACUGUCUAAAAACCUGACCAAAUUCCGUACUUCCGGCGAUUCUUUACUACAUCGAGGUGGGGAACGUGUGUUUUCAAUGAUUAUUUUGGAGUCGUUUUACCGGGUUUUCCAAUGGAAACAUCCAGUUUUUAAAAUGGUGAAAAUGGCGGGCGGCUGCCAAAAGGGUACCCUCAUUCCACGGAUAACUCCUCCUACAGUUUCUCAAGAUAGGAAGUUGUUCUUUUGCAGAUCAAUUGUACAUAUACCAGAGGACACAGAACCCUUGGCUACUGGUCGGUCUUUAGAAACGGAAAACAACCAUGUCGAAUUAUUCUUGGCUACUGGUCGGUCUUUAGAAACGGAAAACAACCAUGUCGAAUUCUUCUUGUUAAACUUCGACACAGUUCAGAUAUAGGACAGGAAUCCAAAACAUUUGACGAUUAGAACAAGAUACAGGUGUCACAAAAAAGGUUGAAGCGUUUA